UUCCCACCUAUGAGUGAGAACAUGCAGUGUUUGGUUUUCUGUCCUUGUGAAGCAGUAAAAUUAUUGUUUUGUGGUUUCAUGUAUCAGUAGUUAUUUUAUUUUUAUUAUGGAUUGGUAUUUCAUCAUACAGAUAGAUAAUUUGCUUAAAUAUUUACAUGUUGAUGGACAUUUAGGCUGUUUUCCGUUUCUUGGUAUUAUGAAUAAAAUUGGUAUGCACAUUCAUGUGCAGAUCUCUGUGUGGACGCAUAUUGUCAUCUCUCUUGAAUUAAUACUUUGGAGUGGGAUUGUUGGAGCAUAUGACAGGUACUUUUAUAAGAAAUUUCCAGUUUCCCAAAGUGGCUGUACUAUUUUGCAUUCUGAUCAGCAAUUUUGAGACUUCUAGUUGCUCUACAUUCUCACCAACAUUUGGCAUUAUCAACCUUUUAAACUUUAGCAAUGGUAAUAAGUGUACUGUGGUAUCUUAUUGUGGUUUUAAUAUGCAAUUUCCUGAUGAUUAAUGAUUUGAGCAUCUUUUCAUGGACUUUUUGCCAUUCAUGUAUCUUCCCUAGUGAAGUAUUCAUUCAAAUCUUUUGACUGUUUUUUUUUUUAAUUAAAAUUCUUUUUGAGACAGGGUCUCACUCUGUCCUUUAGGAUGGAGUGCAGUGGCAUGAGGCUCACUGCAGCCUUGACCUCCUGGGUUCAAGCCAUCCUCCCACCUUAGCCUCCUGAGUAGUUGGGACUACAGGCCUACACCACCAUGCCUGGCUAAUUUGUUUAUUUUUUAUAGAGACAAGGUCUCACUAUGUUAUCCAGGCAGGUCUUGAACUCCUGGGCUCAAGCGAUCCUCCCACCUCCCAAAGUGCUGGGAUUGUAGGCAUGAAUCACCACGACUGGCCUUUUUGACCAUUUUAAAAAUGAGUUUGCAUUAUUGUCACUGAGUUGUAAGAGCACAAAUAUUUUCACAGUCUGUUUCUUAUCUUUUCAUUUUCUUAACAGUGCCUUUCAAAGAAUAGAAGUUUUUCAUUUUGAUGAAAAUCAAUUAUUUUUUCUUUUAUAGUUUGUACAUUUUGAGUCCUAUCUAAGAAAAUAUUUACCCAACUCAGGGCCCUCAAAGAUUCACUCUAUGUUUUUGUCUAGAAGUUUUAUAACUGUAGCUAUUACUUUAGUUCUAUGAUCCAUUUUGCUUUAUUAAAUUGUGCAAAGGAAGGAGUUGAGCUUUGUUUGUCUUUGUGUCUGUUUUGAUUAUGGAUUUCCAAUUGUUCCAGCACUAUUUGUUGAAAAUACUGUCCUUUUUCUAUUGAAUUAACUUGCGAUCUUUGUCAACAGUCAAUGGAUCAUGAAGAUGGAGGUGGUGGCUCAUGCCUGUUAAUCCCCACACUAUGAGAGGCUGAGGCAGGAGGAUCACUUGGGGCCAGUAGUUUGAGACCAGCCUGGGCAACAUGGCAAGACUCCAUCUCUACAAAAAAAUGCAAAAAGAAAUCAGUGGACCAUGUAUGUACACAUCUAUUUUGGAUUCAUGCCUGUAAGAUACUGAGCGUCGACCAGGCGCAGUGGCUCACAACUGUAAUCCCAGCACUUUGGGAGGCUGAGAUGGGUGGAUCACCUGAGCUCGGGAGUUCGAGACCAGCCUGAACAACAUGGAGAAACCCCAUCUCUACUAAAAAUACAAAAUUAGCUGGGCAUGGUGGCGCAUGCCUGUAAUCCCAGCUACUCGGGAGGCUGAGGCAGGAGAAUCGCUUGAACCUGGGAGGCAGGAAUUGCAGUGAGCUGAGAUUGAGCCAUUGCACUCCAACCUGGACAACAAGAGUGAAACUCCGUCUCAAAAAAAAUAAAAUAAAUAAAAGAUACUGAGCAUCUUUUGAUCUAUAUGUCUUUAUGCCAAUACUACACUGUACUGAUUAUUUUAUAUUGUCUAAAAGAAGCAGUAACAUUAUUAACUUUAUUGUCUUAACCCUUGAAUAUAUGUCUUUGAAAUAUUUUGUGUGACAAAAUGGGAAGUAUGCUUAUCUCAAGGAAAAGCACUUACGCAAUUGAAUUGUGAACUGAAUGCACCAAACACCAGUUUUACUUAAAAGAACAAAUGACAAACUAUAGUUAUCAGACUUGGGUCUUUGGCAUACUUUUUCUCAAAGGUGAAUCAAGUGAGCCUAUCAAUUCAAGGGAAAAAAAAUUAGUGUUUGUUGCCAGUGAAAAAAUUAGCGUCUUCAAGUGAAAAUUAGGAUUUGAAAAACUUAUAUCUACUUACAGUGAGUUUGAAAGCUUUCAAUUCUAAUGAGACCAGUGAUAGCAUUAAUGAGUGUGCUCUUUAAAAAAUAUUGUAUAAUGAAAUGUGUCAACAUUUGGGAGAUCUGCAUAACUCAGUGAACCAAUAUUUUCCAAAUGACCAAUACAUGAUGUUACAAAAUCAUGCAUGAGUAAAAGAGC
rnacentral:lncRNA from 1 species